AAUAGAGGUGCGGCUGACAUGAGUAUCCUGGGGGAGCCCGGCCAGGGCUGAGAACCCGGGGGAAAGGGGAGGCCGCCGAAACGCGGAGGCAGGGCCAUGCGCCGCGUUGGUCAUGGGGAGAAUAUCUCCCUGACUGUCAUGGGUCGCCAUGGAGCGCUAUUC
rnacentral:ncRNA from 1 species